rnacentral:rRNA from 1 species
GACGAACGCUGGCGGCGUGCUUAACACAUGCAAGUCGAGCGAGAACCCAGCAAUGGGGGACAGCGGCGUAAGGGACAGUAAUGUGUAGAUUAUCUGCCCUCGGGACCGGGAUAGCUGCGGGAAACUGCAGGUAAUACCGGAUAACAUCCCCGGAUCAAAGGUGUGAUUCCGCCCGAGGAUGAGUCUGCAUCCUAUUAGCUAGUUGGCAGGGUAAUGGCCUACCAAGGCUUUGAUGGGUAGCGGGUGUGAGAGCACGGCCCGCGUCAUUGGGACUGAGACACUGCCAGACACCUACGGGUGGCUGCAGUCGAGAAUCUUCGGCAAUGGGCGCAAGCCUGACCGAGCGACGCCGCGUGUGGGAUGAAGGCCUUCGGGUUGUAAACCACUGUUAGAGGGGAUGAAAUGCAGGUGGGUUCUCCCAUCUGUUUGACAUAGCCUCAGAGGAAGGACGGGCUAAGUUCGUGCCAGCAGCCGCCGUAA